UACUUGAAAUAUUAGUGUUUAUUAGCAGAGUUUUUAGUGCACAAACAUACCCACCCUAAUUUUGUCUUGAGAAUUGGAUUCUGAAAAACUGUGAUCAGCACAAAGGUGUGUCGGUACUCUGGUACCAUGAAAGCAUUGAAAGGGAGAGAAAUGAUUGGAUUGACAAAAGUCUUGACAAGAGAGGCCAACAGAAACCAAAAGCCUUCGCAAGUGUAACUCAAUUUGUUUUUGAGCUCAGAAGAGAAUGACAGUGUGCUAGAUGGAUUUCAGUUUUCCUUCCAGAUCUGCUCUUCACUUCUCCACACUGACCCGCACCCUUCAUGUGCUUCUCACAAAGUUGAGAGCCACAGAGGAGCACGCAAGGUGAGCUGUGAUGAGUGAUUUUCAUUUACCUUUCCAGAUCCUCUGUCCACUCUGCUCUGCUGAUAGACAUUUACGAACCAUAGCGACAAGCUCCUUUGUCCCCUGGCUUCUGGUUAGAGGGCCAAUGAGAUACACAGGCAGAGACUGCAUGGAGAGGGAAAAGUGAGGUUGGGGCAUUGCCUGCUCUCCCUGCAGGGCUAUGAGUCUGAGUCCGUGUUCCAUCAUCUAAGGCCAAGCACCUGUCAAGCAGGUGGCUCUCUUUCAUACCUUUCAGGUCCAAUGACCUUCCCUCUAAGGGUUGUAACAGCACUCCAUGCUUAGCAAUCACUAUUCCUCGCUGGUUUCUUUUAACCCAGUACAACUUUGCAAAUUAGCCCUUUUUGAAACUCUUCAGUUUCCCUCAUUUGACUGCUUCACUUGUUUCUCAUGGAAACCCUGACUUGAGGAUUUUUGUUUAGUGAGCGUUUCCACAGUAUUUUUGAAGAGCUAACGGGAAGUUAAUUUGCCUACCUUUUAUACACCUCAGUUAGAUCAGCUUUUGUCUGGAAAGGAGCCUGGCAGGGCUUGGCUUUGUAUCCUGUUGGGAUGAUCAUCUCUUCAGUGUGAUGACUAAGGGUUGCAUCCAGUUAGUGCACUAGCAACUGAAGUUAGGAAGGCUGGGGUGGACGCUGCCAACCAGCAAUCCAAUCUGCCUGAUGGCCAACCCUCUGACCACUGGGAGCCUGGGGCUUUCUGAAUCAGACAACUUCCAGACUUCACAUGUGCUGCCAAGCACAAGAUAUAUUCUGGAAAGAAGAGGAGGAGGAAGAAGAAAGACUGUAAAGGAAGGAGCAGUACUGUUUUCAUGAGGACCUACUAUGUGCCAGACAUUAUUCUAAGUGCUGGGGUCACCAUGGGAAACUUGCAGCUAGUUGGGAGGCUAAGGUGGGAAGAUGACUUGAGCCCAGCAGGUCGAGGCUGCAGUAAGCCAAGAUCGUGCCACUGCACUCCAGGCUGGGCAACAGAUGCUGUGUGAAGAUGAAGGCAGAGAUCAGGCUGAUGCUUAUGGAAAGCCAGAGAUUGCCAACAAACCACCAAAAACUAGGAGAGAGACCUGAAACAGAUUCUCUCUGAGUCCUCAGUAGGAACCAACCCUGCCAACACCAUGAUCUUGGACUUCUAGCCCCCAGAACUGUGAAAUAAUAAAUGUCUGAUGUCUAAGCCAGCCAGUUUACGGUAGUUUGUUACAGCAGCCCUAGAAACCUAAAAUAUGGUACAUAUGGUUUUGUCUUCCCAACCCACUUAUUUUUCUGGGAAAUCUCUCUCCCUCCCCAGUUACUGCAGGAGCAGCCAUGUUGAUCAACAUGGCCUCCUGCCCCGGUAGAGUUCAUUGAAAAUUGGCAUUUGAAACCAGAGAACAAGUCUUCAGUGACUAAAGCUGAAAAAUAUGAAACUCAGGAACUGCCAACAACCAUGUUUUCUACAACAAAAAGAAAGCCAGUCUGCAGAAGACAAAGCUGGAAUCCAGAGCAGCAGAGGUGAGGCAAGGGGAGAGAGCUGAGGGUUUCCCGCUCUAACUCCAUUGGUGCCCGAGAUCUCAGCUCUAUCCUAACUUGGCUGUGACUUGAAUUCCGGGACACUAAAGUGGCUGUCCAGUAAAUUCUUUUUUUUUUUUUUCCUCUCAAGCCAAUUAAUAAACAGUCUGUGGUACUUACAACUCAGACUUCUAUUUAACAUCUCCAAAACUCACUCAGUCUCAUUUUUCAUAAUAAGUGGAAGUUUGCUGCUCUAACUGUAUCCUUACCAGACAUGGGUGCAGGAUCCAGAAAAGAGCAUUAAUAAAAAUUAAUGUUAGUCAAGAAAUAUGGCCAGAGGCAAUGGCUCACGCCUGUAAUCCCAGUACUUUGGGAGGCUGAGGUGGGCAGA